rnacentral:lncRNA from 1 species
GGAAGCUGCCUUAUGGGGCGUAUGACAGUGGGUGGGGUGGGGUUGCUGGCCAGACAAGGAGAGAGGAACUGAGAGAGGUCCUGGAGGGGGAAAGAUUAAAGCAGCGGCCCCAGCAACUGAUUCCUUCUCUUCAUAGUUUCUUUCCCCUUUGCUCAAUCCCCUCCUUCCUAUCCUCCAAUAUCUCAGCCCGCCUCUACUCCCAAGCCAGUCACUGCUGCCUCCUCCAGCACCUGGAAAGGAUAAAUGCUGCUCUAACGCUACCUCUCUGGUCACUGGAGGGAAGCAGGGGGCUCAGGAGUCUGUUCUCUUCAUGCCUUUACCAGAUCCUGAAUCAGGGUGAGUAACUAAGUGAUUUUCCCCCAAGUACACCAGUCCAUGGGGGUUUGAAACCAG